rnacentral:rRNA from 1 species
GACGAUAGCCUAGGAGAUACACCUGUACCCAUGCCGAACACAGCAGUUAAGCCCUAGAACGCCUGAAGUAGUUGGGGGUUGCCCCCUGUUAGAUACGGUAGUCGCUUAGC